UCCGGAGUCCGCACGACCAAGGUCGCGCGGAGUGUGAUCUUGUAAAUUCAGCGGCCCACCGGCAAUGUAAACGACGUCAGGAACCUGUGGGGUAUCCGCGUGUUUGCCGGUUGUCUACACCAGUCUGGUGGUAUGUUUGUCUAAAUUCGGACGCUCAUACCUCCAUUCAUCACCAGUGGCCGCUUGCUCC
ncrna:unclassified sequences RT-7 RNA